CAAAACAAGUAAAUCUUUGCAUAAUCCUUGCUAAUUCAUAACAUAGGUGUAGGUUCAGAUUUUACGACAGGUAAAAUCUUUUUCUUGGAAGAGGGGUACUGUAACAUUUGAAAAUGUUAUUUUUUUUAUUUUACGAUUCAAUGGAUCAUAAGUUUUUGAACGUAAAUACGCUCGGGGCGAAGGGCGCGGGGAGUGCGCGCCGCAGGCGCAGCGUCUCGGCCAGAGACAGACUGCCACACUCGCCAGCCUCGCUUGAAACUUGAACUUGAGCACCCGCGUACCGCUUGAUGCGGCGCGCGUCUUAAUAAAUCGAUCUCGUUGGCGUUUUUUCAUAGUGCGAGUUUAAUAAAACUUUAAUGAAACCUCACAGUUAAUCAAACUUAAGUGUCUAGCCUACAUUUCAUCCCGUAACUGGGAAUUACGGCCGGGCUCAGUUUGAGCUAGGACUUAUUGUGGACCGUUCCGGAGGGGACAGAGAAGUGGACAUCACGGCGUCCCACGGGGACCGCAGGAGGCCGCACAGGGGAGUCUGGCACAAGUGUUACGUGGAACCGAUCUUUUUACAACCUACCCACCUGUACCUUAAAAUCAAAUAUUUUUAAACUUAGAUUAAUAAAUUUUGUAAACUUA